rnacentral:rRNA from 1 species
AUGAACGCUAGCGGCAGGCUUAACACAUGCAAGUCGAGGGGCGACACGGGUAGCAAUACCUGGUGGCGACCGGCGCAAGGGUGCGUAACGCGUGAGCAACAUGCCCUAUACAGGGGGAUAAUCCAGGGAAACUUGGUCUAAAUAUCCCAUAGUAUUUAGAGGUGGCAUCACCACUAAAUUAAAGCUUCGGUGGUAUAGGAUUGGCUCGCGUGACAUUAGCUGGAUGGUGGGGUAACGGCUCACCAUGGCGAUGAUGUCUAGGGGUUCUGAGAGGAAGACCCCCCACACUGGGACUGAGACACGGCCCAGACUCCUACGGGAGGCAGCAGUGAGGAAUAUUGGACAAUGGAUGGAAAUCUGAUCCAGCCAUGCCGCGUGCAGGAAGACGGCCCUAUGGGUUGUAAACUGCUUUUAUAUGGGAGCAAUAAGGUUUACGCGUAGACCGAUGAGAGUACCAUAUGAAUAAGCAUCGGCUAACUCCGUG